CUACAUACAACCGCUCGAUUACAGGUUAUAAGUACAUUAUGUCACCUGUAGUUGGCGUGACUUAAAUUAUA
rnacentral:sRNA from 1 species